rnacentral:rRNA from 1 species
UUCCCCUAGUAACGGCGAGUGAAGAGGGAAAAGCCCAAAUUUGUAAUCUGGCUCUUUCAGAGUCCGAGUUGUAAUUUUAAGAACUGUUUUCUGUGCUAGGCCACAUAUAAGUCUGUUGAAAAACAGCAUCAUGGAGGGUGAUAAUCCCGUAUAUGAUGUGGAUUUGCUAGUGCUUUAUGAUACAGUUUCUAAGAGUCGAGUUGUUUGGGAAUGCAGCUCAAAGUGGGUGGUAAAUUCCAUCUAAGGCUAAAUAUAGGUGAGAGACCGAUAGCAAACAAGUACCGUGAGGGAAAGAUGAAAAGAACUUUGGAAAGAGAGUUAACAGUACGUGAAAUUGUUAAAAGGGAAACAAUUGAAGUUAGCCUUGUUGUUAUUAGUUCAGCUCCUUCUGGGGUGUAUUCUAAUGGCCAACAGACCAACAUCAAUUCUAUAGUGUUGGAUAAGGGUUUGGGAAAUGUAGCAGUCUUUGACUGUGUUAUAGUCCUGGACUUUGAUACAGUGCUUGGGAUUGAGGAAUGCAGUAAGCUACUCUUGUGGCGGGACAAUUUGAUUGUUCUUCUUACUGAGGAUGUUGGGUAUAGCUUCAACUGACCCGUCUUGAAACACGGACCAAGGAGUCUAACAUGCCUGCGAGUAUUUGGGUGUUCAAACCCUGAUGCGUAAUGAAAGUGAAUGUAAAUGGGAUCUGUCAAAGGUGCACCAUUGACCAGUCCUGAUUAUUUAUAUGAAGGUACUGAGUAAGAGCAAGUAUGUUGGGACCCGAAAGAUGGUGAACUAUGCCUGAAUAGGGUGAAGCCAGAGGAAACUCUGGUGGAAGCUCGUAGCGGUUCUGACGUGCAAAUCGAUCGUCAAAUUUGGGUAUAGGGGCGAAAGAC